UGGGGAAUAGCUCAGUGGAGAGCACUUGCCUAUCAUGCAGGAGGUCCUAGGUUCAGUCCCUAGCACCCCCA
rnacentral:tRNA from 1 species